AGGGGGAGGGCGAGGAGGGCACCCCCCCCACCCCUGCACGGGCACCCUCCAACUUCAGGACUUGUGAGUCGUACUUUUGGGGACGACCGUCCCGUUUCAGGCGUGACACCGGCGCGGCUCUGACAGACAACACCGUGCGGGGCUACAACGUGCCCCGUGUCGGCGAGCACCCCUCGGGCGCGUUCGGUGCCGGCCGGGUGUAUUUCCGUUCCCUGCGUGCUGCGCCGCGCUGUCUUACCUUUGCUGGAGGGAACGUACCGUUGGCGAGGCUCCCGUCUCCGUGGAGGGUGACGGCACCAGCCGAGCGACCUGCGAUGUCGCUAAAAGCCUAAACUGCAUCCGCAUCUGGGGGGCACCGGCGCUGUCCCUGCAGGAGCCGGGUCCCGAGGGGCUGUCGGUGCAAACUUGCUGCGGAAACAUAUUGACUAGUGCAAAGAUGUAAAAAGAUGGCUGUUGCUGCUGAAAUGCCAUACGUGACCAUUCGGUACCUCGUGCUAUUAAAGAUGGUCUGUUCGGUGACUCUGUGUAACCAUACGUGUCAGCCCAAAGUGUUUCGAUUUGAUGUCAUUUAAUAGUCUGGCAAGUUUUGCAAUAACAAAGUGGAUUAAAUUAGGAGGAAUUACAUUGUGUAGAAGCCACUGGAUGCCAGAGGGACCGUGACUGUGGCCCCUGCGAGGAAGGCAGAGCGGACCCGGGGAUAGCUUACAGCAUUGAGAGGCUUAGGAAAUCUGAUUUUGGAGGUUACAGGCCUACUGUCCUGUUAAGUGCAUGAGUCUGCCUAAUCCUCUUUUGAACCAAAGUGAAUUAUCAGCCACUACAACCUCCUGUGGCAAUGAGUUCCACAAGUAAAUGACGCAUGUGAAAAAAUUCUCUUGUUUUGCUUUAAACACACUCCCUAAUAAUAUCAUUGUUUGUUCCCUACUUCUAGUAUUGUGAGAGAUGGUAAAUAAUAAAUACCUAUUUCCUUUCUU